GGCCAUAGCUCAGUGGUAGAGCAUCUGCUUUGUAUGCAGAAGGUCCCAGGUUCAAUUCCUGGCAGGAUCU